rnacentral:rRNA from 1 species
NNNNNNNCCUCCACUAGAGUAUCCGCCUGAGAACUACGAGCACAAACGCUUAAAACUCUAAGGACUUGGCGGUGCCCCAAACCCACCUAGAGGAGCCUGUUCUAUAAUCGAUAACCCACGAUACACCCAACCGCCCCUUGCCAAGGCAGCCUACAUACCGCCGUCGCCAGCUCACCUCUUCUGAGAGCACAACAGUGAGCACAAUAGUUUCCCCCACUAGUAAGACAGGUCAAGGUAUAGCCCAUGAGGCGGAAGAAAUGGGCUACAUUUUCUAAGAUAGAAAACUCCACGAAAAGAGGUGUGAAAGCCACCCCUGGAAGGCGGAUUUAGCAGUAAAGCAGAAUAAUAAAGUCUGCUUUAAGCUGGCCCUGGGG